rnacentral:lncRNA from 1 species
AUGCCCGUUUUGAACUCUGUAAUAAUUGGUCUGAUUCUAUCUUUGGAUAGAUGAAGCCGGAUAAUAUAUCCUUUAUCUAAAAAAAACUAAACUCCUAGGGAUGCUCUUACAUCCUUCCAUAUAUUCUUUCUACCUUGUAUAUUUGUAUCAAGAAUUCUUUCUUAUUUUUUAUUUCUUUUUACACCUUUCCACCUCCACAUUUAUAUAUUCUUUCUCUCUUGUAUUUGUGCAUUAGGAAUUCUUUCUUAUUAUUUAUUUUAUUUUGCACUCUUCCACCUCUAGGCUUGUUAGGAAGUGUCAAGAGAAUGCAUGACGCGGCAUAGCAUCACACCAAACAAUUAUCAUACAAAAAAGGUCUUAUUUUCUUUCUUUUUAGACUGUCUCCCACAAUCGUCACCCAAAAUACAAGACUAAAAGGUAGCGCUACAGGUAAAAGGUUCCAUACCUAUUUUUAGUCUUCUCCAACAAUAAAACCUAAAAGACAACACUCUCUGUAAAUGGAUCUCGAGGAGAGAGGAUACCUAAAUUUGGGUUGCUUCUCCCGAUACCCAAAAUAGAUCUUCUGAGGGUACUUUGUUGGAGAUGGAGACCCAUUUUAGAUUUGGAUUUCUAAAUAGGUCUCCCAUUGGAGACGGUCUUAGUUGUAGGAGAUAGGAGAGUAGG